rnacentral:rRNA from 1 species
GCAUAUCAAUAAGCGGAGGAAAAGAAACCAACAGGGAUUGCCCCCAGUAACGGCGAGUGAAGCGGCAAGAGCUCAAAUUUGAAAGCUGGCUCCUUCGGGGUCCGCAUUGUAAUUUGUAGAGGAUGCUUCGGGAGCGGUCCCCAUCUAAGUGCCCUGGAACGGGACGUCAUAGAGGGUGAGAAUCCCGUAUGGGAUGGGGUGUCCGCGCCCGUGUGAAGCUCCUUCGACGAGUCGAGUUGUUUGGGAAUGCAGCUCUAAAUGGGUGGUAAAUUUCAUCUAAAGCUAAAUAUUGGCCGGAGACCGAUAGCGCACAAGUAGAGUGAUCGAAAGAUGAAAAGCACUUUGAAAAGAGAGUUAAAAAGCACGUGAAAUUGUUGAAAGGGAAGCGCUUGCGACCAGACUCGCUCGCGGGGUUCAGCCGGCACUCGUGCCGGUGUACUUCCCCGCGGGCGGGCCAGCGUCGGUUUGGGCGGUCGGUCAAAGGCCCUCGGAAGGUAACGCCCCCAGGGGCGUCUUAUAGCCGAGGGUGCAAUGCGACCUGCCUAGACCGAGGAACGCGCUUCGGCUCGGACGCUGGCAUAAUGGUCGUAAGCGACCCGUCUUGAAACACGGACCAAGGAGUCUAACAUCUACGCGAGUGUUCGGGUGUCAAACCCGUGCGCGAAGUGAAAGCGAACGGAGGUGGGAACCCGCAAGGGUGCACCAUCGACCGAUCCUGAAGUCUUCGGAUGGAUUUGAGUAAGAGCGUAGCUGUUGGGACCCGAAAGAUGGUGAACUAUGCCUGAAUAGGGCGAAGCCAGAGGAAACUCUGGUGGAGGCUCGUAGCGGUUCUGACGUGCAAAUCGAUUCGUCGAAUUUGGGUAAUAAGGGGCGAAAGACUAAUCGAACCAUUCUGGUAGCUGGUUCUGCCGAA